rnacentral:rRNA from 1 species
CCUACGGGGGCAGCAGUGGGGAAUAUUGCACAAUGGGCGCAAGCCUGAUGCAGCCAUGCCGCGUGUGUGAAGAAGGCCUUCGGGUUGUAAAGCACUUUCAGCGGGGAGGAAGGCGUUAAGGUUAAUAACCUUGGCGAUUGACGUUACCCGCAGAAGAAGCACCGGCUAACUCCGUGCCAGCAGCCGCGGUAAUACGGAGGGUGCGAGCGUUAAUCGGAAUUACUGGGCGUAAAGCGCACGCAGGCGGUCUGUCAAGUCGGAUGUGAAAUCCCCGGGCUCAACCUGGGAACUGCAUUCGAAACUGGCAGGCUAGAGUCUUGUAGAGGGGGGUAGAAUUCCAGGUGUAGCGGUGAAAUGCGUAGAGAUCUGGAGGAAUACCGGUGGCGAAGGCGGCCCCCUGGACAAAGACUGACGCUCAGGUGCGAAAGCGUGGGGAGCAAACAGGAUUAGAUACCCUUGUAGUC